rnacentral:sRNA from 2 species
UCUCUUCUAUUAAAUCUGUCUAUACUUUUGUAAUGAUGUUCUGCUGUUCACAUCUGUUUUUGUAGUAUGCUAUUUCUGAAAUAUUUGUAGUAUGUGUUUAUCAAGCUCUUGUUAUAAUCAUGCAUUGUCUAAUUUAAAAUAGUAAGACACUUUUAUUUUAUAUGUAUAAGAAUUUCUAUCACAACAAUACUGUCUCAUCACUAAUCACACUAUAUUUACAACUAUUUCAUUCUAUUUAUUCACUUACACUUCUUUAUUUAAUCUUCUCUGUCUUAUUUUUAAUUAUUCUAUAUAUCUAUUCUAUUCUAUCAAAUUGUCUAGC